AACGCACCUUGCGCUCCUUGGUAUUCCAAGGAGCAUGCCUGUUUGAGUGUCACGAAAAUCAUCAAACCGUUUAGACCAUUUUGUGGUCAACUCGGUAUUGGAUCUUGGGAUUUUUGCUGGUUUUCCAUUCUCUUUGGAAUGGAGGGAUCCAGCUAUCCUUAAAUGCAUUAGCAGGACUUUAUGCUUCUCCAGCAAUUUGGUGUUAAUAAAUCAUCUACGCCAUUGUUUGAAGUUCAGAGUUCAGCUUACAAUCAGUUUUGAAAAAUUGACUGUUUGACCUCAAAUCAGGUAGGACUACCCGCUGAACUUAA
rnacentral:misc_RNA from 1 species